rnacentral:rRNA from 1 species
AUGCUUGGGAACAUGCCUUGAGGUGGGGGACAACAGUUGGAAACGACUGCUAAUACCGCAUAAUGUCUACGGACCAAAGGGGGCUUCGGCUCUCGCCUUUAGAUUGGCCCAAGUGGGAUUAGCUAGUUGGUGAGGUAAUGGCUCACCAAGGCGACGAUCCCUAGCUGGUUUGAGAGGAUGAUCAGCCACACUGGGACUGAGACACGGCCCAGACUCCUACGGGAGGCAGCAGUGGGGAAUAUUGCACAAUGGGCGCAAGCCUGAUGCAGCCAUGCCGCGUGUGUGAAGAAGGCCUUCGGGUUGUAAAGCACUUUCAGUCAGGAGGAAAGGUUAGUAGUUAAUACCUGCUAGCUGUGACGUUACUGACAGAAGAAGCACCGGCUAACUCCGUGCCAGCAGCCGCGGUAAUACGGAGGGUGCGAGCGUUAAUCGGAAUUACUGGGCGUAAAGCGUACGCAGGCGGUUUGUUAAGCGAGAUGUGAAAGCCCCGGGCUCAACCUGGGAACUGCAUUUCGAACUGGCAAACUAGAGUGUGAUAGAGGGUGGUAGAAUUUCAGGUGUAGCGGUGAAAUGCGUAGAGAUCUGAAGGAAUACCGAUGGCGAAGGCAGCCACCUGGGUCAACACUGACGCUCAUGUACGAAAGCGUGGGGAGCAAACGGGAUUAGAUACCCCGGUAGUCCACGCCGUAAACGAUGUCUACUAGAAGCUCGGAGCCUCGGUUCUGUUUUUCAAAGCUAACGCAUUAAGUAGACCGCCUGGGGAGUACGGCCGCAAGGUUAAAACUCAAAUGAAUUGACGGGGGCCCGCACAAGCGGUGGAGCAUGUGGUUUAAUUCGAUGCAACGCGAAGAACCUUUACCUACACUUGACAUACAGAGAACUUACCAGAGAUGGUUUGGUGCCUUCGGGAACUCUGAUACAGGUGCUGCAUGGCUGUCGUCAGCUCGUGUUGUGAGA